CACUAUCGUUAACUGAAUACAUAGGUUAACGAGGCGAACCGGGGGAACUGAAACAUCUAAGUACCCCGAGGAAAAGAAAUCAACCGAGAUUCCCCCAGUAGCGGCGAGCGAACGGGGAGCAGCCCAGAGUCUGAAUCAGCUUGUGUGUUAGUGGAACGGUCUGGAAAGUCCGACGGUACAGGGUGAUAGUCCCGUACACCAAAAUGCACAGGUUGUGAACUCGAAGAGUAGGGCGGGACACGUGGUAUCCUGUCUGAAUAUGGGGGGACCAUCCUCCAAGGCUAAAUACUCCUGACUGACCGAUAGUGAACCAGUACCGUGAGGGAAAGGCGAAAAGAACCCCGGCGAGGGGAGUGAAAAAGAACCUGAAACCGUGUACGUACAAGCAGUGGGAGCACCUUCGGGUGUGACUGCGUACCUUUUGUAUAAUGGGUCAGCGACUUAUAUUCUGUAGCAAGGUUAACCGUAUAGGGGAGCCGCAGGGAAACCGAGUCUUAACUGGGCGUUAAGUUGCAGGGUAUAGACCCGAAACCCGGUGAUCUAGCCAUGGGCAGGUUGAAGGUUGGGUAACACUAACUGGAGGACCGAACCGACUAAUGUUGAAAAAUUAGCGGAUGACUUGUGGCUGGGGGUGAAAGGCCAAUCAAACCGGGAGAUAGCUGGUUCUCCCCGAAAGCUAUUUAGGUAGCGCCUCGUGAAUUCAUCUUCGGGGGUAGAGCACUGUUUCGGCUAGGGGGUCAUCCCGACUUACCAACCCGAUGCAAACUACGAAUACCGAAGAAUGUUAUCACGGGAGACACACGGCGGGUGCUAACGUCCGUCGUGAAGAGGGAAACAACCCAGACCGCCAGCUAAGGUCCCAAAGUCAUGGUUAAGUGGGAAACGAUGUGGGAAGGCACAGACAGCCAGGAUGUUGGCUUAGAAGCAGCCAUCAUUUAAAGAAAGCGUAAUAGCUCACUGGUCGAGUCGGCCUGCGCGGAAGAUGUAACGGGGCUAAACCAUGCACCGAAGCUGCGGCAGCGACACUAUGUGUUGUUGGGUAGGGGAGCGUUCUGUAAGCCUGCGAAGGUGACCUGUGAGGGUUGCUGGAGGUAUCAGAAGUGCGAAUGCUGACAUAAGUAACGAUAAAGCGGGUGAAAAGCCCGCUCGCCGGAAGACCAAGGGUUCCUGUCCAACGUUAAUCGGGGCAGGGUGAGUCGACCCCUAAGGCGAGGCCGAAAGGCGUAGUCGAUGGGAAACAGGUUAAUAUUCCUGUACUUGGUGUUACUGCGAAGGGGGGACGGAGAAGGCUAUGUUAGCCGGGCGACGGUUGUCCCGGUUUAAGCAUGUAGGCUGGUUGUCCAGGCAAAUCCGGAUAAUCAAGGCUGAGGUGUGAUGACGAGGCACUACGGUGCUGAAGUAACAAAUGCCCUGCUUCCAGGAAAAGCCUCUAAGCAUCAGGUAACAUCAAAUCGUACCCCAAACCGACACAGGUGGUCAGGUAGAGAAUACCAAGGCGCUUGAGAGAACUCGGGUGAAGGAACUAGGCAAAAUGGUGCCGUAACUUCGGGAGAAGGCACGCUGGUGUGUAGGUGAAGUCCCUGCGGAUGGAGCUGAGACCAGUCGAAGAUACCAGCUGGCUGCAACUGUUUAUUAAAAACACAGCACUGUGCAAACACGAAAGUGGACGUAUACGGUGUGACGCCUGCCCGGUGCCGGAAGGUUAAUUGAUGGGGUUAUCCGUAAGGAGAAGCUCUUGAUCGAAGCCCCGGUAAACGGCGGCCGUAACUAUAACGGUCCUAAGGUAGCGAAAUUCCUUGUCGGGUAAGUUCCGACCUGCACGAAUGGCGUAAUGAUGGCCAGGCUGUCUCCACCCGAGACUCAGUGAAAUUGAACUCGCUGUGAAGAUGCAGUGUACCCGCGGCAAGACGGAAAGACCCCGUGAACCUUUACUAUAGCUUGACACUGAACAUUGAGCCUUGAUGUGUAGGAUAGGUGGGAGGCUUUGAAGCGUGGACGCCAGUCUGCGUGGAGCCAACCUUGAAAUACCACCCUUUAAUGUUUGAUGUUCUAACGUUGGCCCCUUACCGGGGUUGCGGACAGUGUCUGGUGGGUAGUUUGACUGGGGCGGUCUCCUCCCAAAGCGUAACGGAGGAGCACGAAGGUUAGCUAAUCCUGGUCGGACAUCAGGAGGUUAGUGCAAUGGCAUAAGCUAGCUUGACUGCGAGCGUGACGGCGCGAGCAGGUGCGAAAGCAGGUCAUAGUGAUCCGGUGGUUCUGAAUGGAAGGGCCAUCGCUCAACGGAUAAAAGGUACUCCGGGGAUAACAGGCUGAUACCGCCCAAGAGUUCAUAUCGACGGCGGUGUUUGGCACCUCGAUGUCGGCUCAUCACAUCCUGGGGCUGAAGUAGGUCCCAAGGGUAUGGCUGUUCGCCAUUUAAAGUGGUACGCGAGCUGGGUUUAGAACGUCGUGAGACAGUUCGGUCCCUAUCUGCCGUGGGCGCUGGAGAAUUGAGGGGGGCUGCUCCUAGUACGAGAGGACCGGAGUGGACGCAUCACUGGUGUUCGGGUUGUCAUGCCAAUGGCACUGCCCGGUAGCUAAAUGCGGAAGAGAUAAGUGCUGAAAGCAUCUAAGCACGAAACUUGCCCCGAGAUGAGUUCUCCCUGAGACUUUAAGUCUCCUGAAGGAACGUUGAAGACGACGACGUUGAUAGGCCGGGUGUGUAAGCGCAGCGAUGCGUUGAGCUAACCGGUACUAAUGAACCGUGAGGCUUAACCUU
rnacentral:rRNA from 1 species